AAAAGGGUUCAGAUUAUUCCGUGGACCCCGUCUUUUUCUUUUCCAUUUUGCAUUUAAAUUUAAUUCGAAAACUAGAGGAAAUGACCAAAAAACCUAGACUUAAAUAUAUUUACAAAUCCAUGUCAUUCAUAUCCUACCCAGAACCAAAACCCAAAUCCGACCCAAAUUUAAACCCUAAUUUUGUAUUUUCUCUUUUCCUCUCCAUUGAUACUUCUUCAAUUUUAAAGCAAAGU
rnacentral:lncRNA from 1 species